AUCUCUUGGCUCUAGCAUCGAUGAAGAACGCAGCGAAAUGCGAUAAGUAAUGUGAAUUGCAGAAUUCAGUGAAUCAUCGAAUCUUUGAACGCACAUUGCCCCUGGUAGUAUUCUGCCAGGCAUGCCUGUCCGAGCGUCAUUUCACCACUCAAGACUUGCUUUAGUUUUGGUGUUGGAGGUCCUGUUCUUACCCUUCUGAACAGGCCGCCGAAAUGCAUCGGCUGUUAUUUUUACUUGCCAACUCCCCUGUGUAGUACAAGAUUUUUUAAAUUUUUACGCUUUGGAGUGCUUGUGUAACAUGCCGUUAAAGGUUACAGAAGGGCUUAUAGUGGGUGGUGAUAGAAGAUGGAGGGAAUCUCUUUCCCUCUUUCUACUUUCCCCAUCCCCCUAUAACCCUCCUCAACUCACAAGGUUGACCUCGGAUCAGGUAGGAAUACCCGCUGAACUUAAGCAUAUCAAUAACGGAGGAAAAGAAACCAACAGGAGUUCCCUGAUAACGGCGAGUGAACGGCAACAGCUCAAAUUUGAAAUCUGGCUAUCUUACCGUAGUCCGAGUUGUAAUUUGUAGAGGAUGCUUUUGGUGAGGUGCCUUCCGAGUUCCCUGGAACGGGACGCCAUAGAGGGUGAGAGCCCCGUACGGUUGGAUACCAAGCCUUUGUAUAGCUCCUUCAACGAGUCGAGUAGUUUGGGAAUGCUGCUCUAAAUGGGAGGUAUAUCUCUUCUAAAGCUAAAUAUAGGCUAGAGACCGAUAGCGCACAAGUAGAGUGAUCGAAAGAUGAAAAGCACUUUGAAAAGAGAGUUAAACAGCACGUGAAAUUGUUGAAAGGGAAGCGCCUAUGACCAGACUUGUUUCUGGCAGUUUCGUUAGCCCUCGGGCUGAUUUACUCUGUCCAGUACAGGCCAGCAUCAGUUUGCUGUCGGGGAGAAAGGCUCUGGGAACGUAGCUCCCCCCUUCUGGGGGGGAGUGUU
rnacentral:rRNA from 1 species